rnacentral:rRNA from 1 species
AGAGCGAACGCUGGCGGCAGGCCUAACACAUGCAAGUCGAACGGACUCUUCGGAGUUAGUGGCGGACGGGUGAGUAACACGUGGGAACGUGCCUUUAGGUUCGGAAUAGCUCCUGGAAACGGGUGGUAAUGCCGAAUGUGCCCUUCGGGGGAAAGAUUUAUCGCCUUUAGAGCGGCCCGCGUCUGAUUAGCUAGUUGGUGAGGUAAAGGCUCACCAAGGCUACGAUCAGUAGCUGGUCUGAGAGGAUGACCAGCCACAUUGGGACUGAGACACGGCCCAAACUCCUACGGGAGCAGCAGUGGGAAUCUUGCGCAAUGGGCAAAGCCUGACGCAGCCAUGCCGCGUGAAUGAUGAAGGUCUUAGGAUUGUAAAAUUCUUUCAGUAGGGACGAUAAUGACGUACCUACAGAAGAAGCCCGGCUAACUUCGUGCCAGCAGCCGC